rnacentral:rRNA from 1 species
ACUAGGAUAGGAAGAUAAAAGGCAUCUUUUAUCUUUUAAAAGACCUAGUAAUAGGUAUGCUUUAGGAGGGGCUUGCGCCAUAUUAGUUAGUUGGUAGGGUAAUGGCCUACCAAGACGAUGAUGUGUAGCUGGACUGAGAGGUUGAACAGCCACAUUGGGACUGAGACACGGCCCAAACUCCUACGGGAGGCAGCAGUAGGGAAUUUUCGGCAAUGGAGGAAACUCUGACCGAGCAACGCCGCGUGAAUGACGAAGUACUUCGGUAUGUAAAGUUCUUUUAUCAAGGAAGAAAAGCAAAUGGCGAACCAUUUGUUUGCCGGUACUUGAUGAAUAAGCCCCGGCUAAUUAUGUGCCAGCAGCCGCGGUAAGACAUAAGGGGCAAGUGUUAUCCGGAAUUAUUGGGCGUAAAGGGUGCGUAGGCGGUCUAGUAAGUCAGUGGUGUAAUGGCAACGCUUAACGUUGUCCGGCUAUUGAAACUGCUAAACUUGAGUUAGAUAGAGGCGAGUGGAAUUCCAUGUGUAGCGGUAAAAUGCGUAAAUAUAUGGAGGAACACCAGAGGCGUAGGCGGCUCGCUGGGUCUUAACUGACGCUGAGGCACGAAAGCGUGGGGAGCAAACAGGAUUAGAUACCCUGGUAGUCCACGCCGUAAACGAUGAGUACUAAGUGUCGGGUUAAACCGGUACUGAAGUUAACACAUUAAGUACUCCGCCUGAGUAGUACGUACGCAAGUAUGAAACUUAAAGGAAUUGACGGGACUCCGCACAAGCGGUGGAUCAUGUUGUUUAAUUCGAAGAUACCCGAAAAACCUUACCAGGUCUUGACAUGUUUUUGCAAAAUGAUAGUAAUAUCGUGGAGGUUACCAGAAACACAGGUGGUGCAUGGUUGUCGUCAGCUCGUGUCGUGAGAUGUUAGGUUAAGUCCUAAAACGAGCGAAACCCUUAUCGUUAGUUGCCAGCACGUUAUGGUGGGGACUUUAACGAGACUGCCAAUGAUAAAUUGGAGGAAGGUGAGGAUCACGUCAAAUCAGCAUGCCCCUUAUGACCUGGGCUACAAACGUGAUACAAUGGCUGUUACAAAGGGUAGCUGAAACGCAAGUUCUUGGCCAAUCCCCAAAAACAGUCCCAGUCCGGAUUGAAGUCUGCAACUCGACUUCAUGAAGUUGGAAUCGCUAGUAAUCGCGAAUCAGCAUGUCGCGGUGAAUACGUUCUCGGGGUUUGUACACACCGCCCGUCA